UACAGAGGUCUCAAGCGUUGUUCGGAUUCAUUGGGCGUAAAGGGUGCGUAGGUGGCGCCGUAAGUCAGGUGUGAAAUUUCGGAGCUUAACUCCGAAACUGCAUUUGAUACUGCGGUGCUUGAGGACUGGAGAGGAGACUGGAAUUUUACGGUGUAGCAGUGAAAUGCGUAGAGAUCGUAAGGAAGACCAGUGGCGAAGGCGGG
rnacentral:rRNA from 1 species